UACGUAGGGUGCGAGCGUUGUCCGGAAUUAUUGGGCGUAAAGGGCUCGUAGGCGGUUUGUCGCGUCGGGAGUGAAAACACUGGGCUUAACCCAGUGCUUGCUUUCGAUACGGGCAGACUAGAGGUAUGCAGGGGAGAACGGAAUUCCUGGUGUAGCGGUGAAAAUGCGCAGAUAUCAGGAGGAACACCGGUGGCGAAGGCGGUUCUCUGGGCAUGAUCUGACGCUGAGGAGCGAAAGUGUGGGGAGCGAACAGG
rnacentral:rRNA from 1 species